rnacentral:tRNA from 1 species
GCCUGGGUGGCUCAGUCGGUUGAGCGUCUGACUUCAGCUCAGGUCAUGAUCUCACGGUUCGUGAGUUCAAGCCCCGCGUCGGGCU